UACGUAGGGACCAAGCGUUGUUCGGAUUUACUGGGCGUAAAGGGCGCGUAGGCGGCAAUUCAAGUCAUCUGUGAAAUCUCCGGGCUUAACUCGGAACGGUCAGAUGAUACUGCUUUGCUAGAGUACAGAAGGGGCAAUGGAAUUCUUGGUGUAGCGGUGAAAUGCGUAGAUAUCAAGAGGAACACCUGAGGUGAAGACGGGUUGCUGGGCUGAUACUGACGUGAGGCGCGAAAAGCUAGGGGUAGCAAACGGG
rnacentral:rRNA from 1 species